GAUGAACGCUGGCGGCGUGCCUAAUACAUGCAAGUCGAGCGAACAGACGAGGAGCUUGCUCCUCUGACGUUAGCGGCGGACGGGUGAGUAACACGUGGAUAACCUACCUAUAAGACUGGGAUAACUUCGGGAAACCGGAGCUAAUACCGGAUAAUAUAUUGAACCGCAUGGUUCAAUAGUGAAAGACGGUUUUGCUGUCACUUAUAGAUGGAUCCGCGCCGCAUUAGCUAGUUGGUAAGGUAACGGCUUACCAAGGCAACGAUGCGUAGCCGACCUGAGAGGGUGAUUCGCCACCCCGGAACCGAGACACGGUCCAGACUCCUACGGGAGGCAGCCGUAGGGAAUCUUCCGCAAUGGGCGAAAGCCUGACGGAGCAACGCCGCGUGAAUGAUGAAGGUCUUCGGAUCGUAAAACUCUGUUAUUAGGGAAGAACAAAUGUGUAAGUAACUAUGCACGUCUUGACGGUACCUAAUCAGAAAGCCACGGCUAACUACGUG
rnacentral:rRNA from 1 species